UACGGAGGAUCCGAGCGUUAUCCGGAUUUAUUGGGUUUAAAGGGUGCGCAGGCGGGAGAUUAAGUCGGCGGUGAAAUUCUGCAGCUCAACUGUAAAAGUGCCUUCGAAACUGGUUUCCUUGAGUGUAGAUGAAGUAGGCGGAAUUUGUGGUGUAGCGGUGAAAUGCAUAGAUAUCACGAGGAACUCCGAUUGCGCAGGCAGCUUACUAAACUACUACUGACGCUCAGGCACGAAGGCGUGGGGAUCAAACAGGAUUAGAUACCCU
rnacentral:rRNA from 1 species